rnacentral:rRNA from 1 species
AAAUUGAAGAGUUUGAUCAUGGCUCAGAUUGAACGCUGGCGGCAGGCCUAACACAUGCAAGUCGAGCGGUAGCACAGAGAGCUUGCUCUCGGGUGACGAGCGGCGGACGGGUGAGUAAUGUCUGGGAAACUGCCUGAUGGAGGGGGAUAACUACUGGAAACGGUAGCUAAUACCGCAUAACGUCGCAAGACCAAAGUGGGGGACCUUCGGGCCUCAUGCCAUCAGAUGUGCCCAGAUGGGAUUAGCUAGUAGGUGGGGUAAUGGCUCACCUAGGCGACGAUCCCUAGCUGGUCUGAGAGGAUGACCAGCCACACUGGAACUGAGACACGGUCCAGACUCCUACGGGAGGCAGCAGUGGGGAAUAUUGCACAAUGGGCGCAAGCCUGAUGCAGCCAUGCCGCGUGUGUGAAGAAGGCCUUCGGGUUGUAAAGCACUUUCAGCGGGGAGGAAGGCGAUAAGGUUAAUAACCUUGGCGAUUGACGUUACCCGCAGAAGAAGCACCGGCUAACUCCGUGCCAGCAGCCGCGGUAAUACGGAGGGUGCAAGCGUUAAUCGGAAUUACUGGGCGUAAAGCGCACGCAGGCGGUCUGUCAAGUCGGA